GUUGUGAGUUCGAUGAGUAGGGCGGGACACGUGACAUCCUGUCUGAAUAUGGGGGGACCAUCCUCCAAGGCUAAAUACUCCUGACUGACCGAUAGUGAACCAGUACCGUGAGGGAAAGGCGAAAAGAACCCCGGCGAGGGGAGUGAAAUAGAACCUGAAACCGUGUACGUACAAGCAGUGGGAGCCUACUUUGUUGGGUGACUGCGUACCUUUUGUAUAAUGGGUCAGCGACUUAUAUUUUGUAGCAAGGUUAACCGAAUAGGGGAGCCGUAGGGAAACCGAGUCUUAACUGGGCGUCAAGUUGCAAGGUAUAGACCCGAAACCCGGUGAUCUAGCCAUGGGCAGGUUGAAGGUUGGGUAACACUAACUGGAGGACCGAACCGACUAAUGUUGAAAAAUUAGCGGAUGACUUGUGGCUGGGGGUGAAAGGCCAAUCAAACCGGGAGAUAGCUGGUUCUCCCCGAAAGCUAUUUAGGUAGCGCCUCGUGAACUCAUCUUCGGGGGUAGAGCACUGUUUCGACUAGGGGGCCAUCCCGGCUUACCAACUCGAUGCAAACUACGAAUACCGAAGAAUGUUAUCACGGGAGACACACGGCGGGUGCUAACGUCCGUCGUGAAGAGGGAAACAACCCAGACCGCCAGCUAAGGUCCCAAAGUCAUGGUUAAGUGGGAAACGAUGUGGGAAGGCAUAGACAGCCAGGAUGUUGGCUUAGAAGCAGCCAUCAUUUAAAGAAAGCGUAAUAGCUCACUGGUCGAGUCGGCCUGCGCGGAAGAUGUAACGGGGCUAAACCAUGCACCGAAGCUGCGGCAGCGACGCUUAUGCGUUGUUGGGUAGGGGAGCGUUCUGUAAGCCGUCGAAGGUGAACUGUGAGGUUUGCUGGAGGUAUCAGAAGUGCGAAUGCUGACAUAAGUAACGAUAAUGCGGGUGAAAAACCCGCACGCCGGAAGACCAAGGGUUCCUGUCCAACGUUAAUCGGGGCAGGGUGAGUCGACCCCUAAGGCGAGGCUGAAAAGCGUAGUCGAUGGGAAGCUGGUUAAUAUUCCAGCACUUGGUGUUACUGCGAAGGGGGGACGGAGAAGGCUAGGCUAGCCGGGCGACGGUUGUCCCGGUUCAAGCGUGUAGGGGGUGUGAUUUGGUAAAUCCGGUCGCAUAUCAACCCUGAGGCGUGAUAACGAGCCACUACGGUGGUGAAGUAGUUGAUGCCAAGCUUCCAGGAAAAGCCUCUAAGCUCCAGGUAACACGAAAUCGUACCCCAAACCGACACAGGUGGUCAGGUAGAGAAUACUCAGGCGCUUGAGAGAACUCGGGUGAAGGAACUAGGCAAAAUGGUGCCGUAACUUCGGGAGAAGGCACGCUGGCGCGUAGGUGAAGGGACUUGCUCCCGGAGCUGAAGCCAGUCGAAGAUACCAGCUGGCUGCAACUGUUUAAUAAAAACACAGCACUGUGCAAACACGAAAGUGGACGUAUACGGUGUGACGCCUGCCCGGUGCCGGAAGGUUAAUUGAUGGGGUUAUCCG
rnacentral:rRNA from 1 species